GGAUGCUCAACGGGGAGACUGGGACGUAGCGUCCGAAGGCAAGGGAGAGAGGCUGGGCUAGAGAGAAGAGAGAAUUAUAACGGCUACUUUGAUGGAGCUCCUAUUAUGAACUCAGGCCCUCAGCUGGCGACUUCCCAUGCAUCCGUGCAUCCACUGGACACAUAUUCACUAAAUAUCUACAGGUUUCUGUUCCAAGAUUGACAAGAUUCCGUGGUUUAUGAGGCCAGCCUCAUAAACAGCCAUUAGCGCUCAGCCCCCCCGAAAAGAUAUCCUCAUUCCUCUGCACUUUUCUGGUUUCAUCCAGAAGGCUAUGAAUUUGCCAAUUUUGUUCCAAGUUCCAGAUGUCUUAUCUAAGGGAUACAGGAAUCAUUAUGUCCUGAUAUGGACCCUGAGAGUCCACUCUCUUCCUGCGAAAAGGUACUCUUUCUUUGACCCUUUAUCCAAAGAACUUUCUGGCUGAUGGAAACUAAGUGUAUGUGCUACUGGACCUUUCUGGGCCAGUUUCCUCACUGUGUUCAAUGAAAGAGUUGAAGUAGGUGACUGAUGAGGUGCCUCCCAGUUAAGGCAGGAGAGGGAAGGAGGAAAGGAGCAGAGGCCUUGGGUGAGAUCAGAGGCACAUUUGUUGGUGCCCCUCGACUCAUGCUUGUGGUGGCUAUUUUUAAAGUUGCCAUCUGGUGCUUCCAUUUUUCAGUUUUUGUUAUGUGGACAGGUGUGUGUGUGUGAGAGAGAGAGAGAAACAGAGGAGAGGAAGAGGGAGGGAGAGGGAGAAACAAUUCUGUUUCUUUCCCAAAGAUUCAAGGAGGCCAAGGCCUUGGGCCACGAGCCGGAGCUUAGGCACCUGAGCAGACACUGAGCUCAGAUACGAAGGUGUUUCCAGGUGUGAAGUGUGAAGAGCAGGCUUUGGCUUCUGGGGCCCAGCUGAGCUCUGCGUCAUGCCUUGGCCUGGCUGUCCUGUCACACUGACAUCUGCUCUCCUGGGGACAGCUGCUCGGGAAAGGAGAACCCCAUGAACAUUUCCGAGCCUCCUUUCUUGGUGGCUCUGAGUGUACAGAUGAUACAGCUGGGGGGCCUGUGCUCAGAACCACCGGCCAGUUCACUCUCCAUUCCUGCUAGUGUGCUGAGCGGGCCCGAGGGAAACCGGGAGUGAGAAGGACGUGCUGCGGAAGGAAAAGGCCUUGGUUUCAGGGCUGAGGAAGGAAGCUGAGGCCCAGGGAGGACACAGAAUCCCAAACUGUCUGCGUCGGCUGCUUUGUAGACCUGCCAGGCAGGAUUGCCCAUCACGGCUGCCUAACAAACACAUUGCACAGACAGCCCCAGGGCCUCGCCCGCCUCUCCAAGUGAGGAGGGAUGCGGUGGCUCUUCUCAGGGAUGAGGCUUUGGCUGACAGCGAGUCUCUGGUGGAGUCACUGCCACUUUCCUGGCAGAGGUGACUGAAGCCACACAUCAAAGACUUUUUCUUCUCUACAUAGACAGCGUGGGCAGGAUUAGAGUUGGCCUCUGGCCUAUUGGCUGCAGAAACCAGCAGCACCGGGGGGAUGGGAGGCCCAGGGCGUUUCUAUGACUGACCACGGCCAAGUCACUCAGCACCAGGUCUGGAGCCGAGCAAUUUGCUUCCAGCCUCUGCGUUUCCUAAGAAUUUGGUACAGAUGAAUUUGUUGCACACAAAUGUCCUGUAAUGUUUCCCUGAGCACAGUGCUGUUAUAAUAGUGAUCUUCACACAUGUGUGUCUUGUAGGAAUUUAUGGACAUACAUGUAUGCUGGUCAUGUCUCUGUUUAUACCUGAUAGCUUAAAACGCUUACACUGACUCAUUCAUUCAGCCAACAUGUGUUGAAUGCCUACUGUGUGCCAAUUCCGAGAUGGGUUCUAGAUUCCUGUCCUAUUUCGGGUCAGGGGUGUUCAUCAGUACUUCCCUUGGAAACUUGUACUUGUCGUUAUACAUGUUUGAUCAACAUAAACAGGAGAAGGACUUAGGAGUACGCAGGGUAGUUCCUGUGGUGAUCACAAGCUUUCAAACUUGAGCCAAGCAGAAAGAAAUAAUGAAAAGAGUUCUCGGUGGUGAGAAAAUUGGAAGUCAGCCUCUUAUACAUCCAAAGAUGUGUGAGAUACGUUCUUGCUCUUAAAGAACUCUAAGCCUGGCGGAGGAAACAAACAC
ensembl:lncRNA